AACCCAUGGUGAGGGAACCUUCUCAGUAAGUCCUUAUAUCUCUCUCAUGCAUCGUAAAGUGUUUCUAAAUCCAUCUGCACAAAAGAAGAGAUAUCAUUACGUAAUUU
rnacentral:snoRNA from 1 species